rnacentral:lncRNA from 1 species
AUGGCUGCUUUGUGUCACACCAGCGUAAUCCUUCCAGUUCAUCCUAGUGCACGUACAGUGAAGGAGCAGCACCGGCACUUCUUUGCACUACUAAAACUCUGUGCUGAUUUUUUUUGUUUGUUUUUUUGUUGGAGCUGCACAAAAGAGAAAUCAGAUGGCAGUAGAGUGAGCAUCGGCCAGAGGCGAUAACUCCUCAGCGGAUUAGUCUUCAGCAGACAUUAUUCAACAGGAAGAUGAGGUGAGCUCCUGUACGCAGUGACUCCCCAGGAAGAGAAAACGAGGUAGGACAAAUCCCCAACAUGACUGAUUACUGUCCCCACCAUCUCCCCUGUUCAUAUCUCCAACAAUAUCAGGCAUCUUCAUUAAUCCCCGUGGAUCAAUGUGUCUGGGGGUUGUAAAAAUUGACAAAUGACUUAUUAGAAUCCCACCGUUUUAUUUUCCAACUGAUUAACUCACAGCGAUGUUGUACACUAUACAGGCUCACUGAUGUAUCUGUUUUCCAGAGAGGGCCCCCUCGCUCUCUCUUUCUCUCUCUCUCUCUCUGUGCCUUUCUUACUGUGGGUGAUCUAUACGGAACCAAAUGCACUCCUAACACUGCGUGUGAAACCCUGUCAGGCUGACGCAAAAACUACUACAACCGAAUUAUGCUUUUUCCUAUAAAUACACCCAUUUUGUUUCCUGACAUAAACAGCUGUUGAGAAGUGUGUUAGCUGACUUGCUUAUUUACAUAUAGAAUAUAAAAAUACAACUAAUAAUCUAUUAGAGAACUGGAACUUUGCACUGGCGGUAAUAAAAUCAGCAUGUUAUAGUGCUGCGGUUUCUCCAUUUUUGCACGCUAUACUCUUCUUAUCUGGGGAACCGUUCUUUUAUGCCUGUUUUAUGUUUAGAUGUUGUUGUAGCAGCAUCCCACAUUGUCAUCUCGACGAAAU